ACCUUGCUGACGAGUGCCAGGUAGCACGAAACCCGGGUCUAGGGU
rnacentral:hammerhead_ribozyme from 1 species